AUUGAACGCUGGCGGCAGGCUUAACACAUGCAAGUCGAGCGGUAGCACAGGGGAGCUUGCUCCCUGGGUGACGAGCGGCGGACGGGUGAGUAAUGUCUGGGAAACUGCCUGCUGGAGGGGGAUAACUACUGGAAACGGUAGCUAAUACCGCAUAACGUCGCAAGACCAAAGAGGGGGACCUUCGGGCCUCUUGCCAUCAGAUGUGCCCAGAUGGGAUUAGCUAGUAGGUGGGGUAAUGGCUCACCUAGGCGACGAUCCCUAGCUGGUCUGAGAGGAUGACCAGCCACACUGGAACUGAGACACGGUCCAGACUCCUACGGGAGGCAGCAGUGGGGAAUAUUGCACAAUGGGCGCAAGCCUGAUGCAGCCAUGCCGCGUGUGUGAAGAAGGCCUUCGGGUUGUAAAGCACUUUCAGCGAGGAGGAAGGUGGUGAACUUAAUACGUUCAUCAAUUGACGUUACUCGCAGAAGAAGCACCGGCUAACUCCGUG
rnacentral:rRNA from 1 species